GCAACCUAAUCCCCAUUCUCCAGAGCACUUGGCUUCACUGGCAAAAGCAAACGGCACUAGCCAUGGAAAGGAGAAAAGUGUGACUCAGUCCUUGAUCCCGUGGGAAGAGACAGCAUCUAUUCAUCAAAGGACAAAUAAAAAUGAAGUGAUCUUGAGCUGAGUGUCAGAGAAACAAGAGAGAUCACACUCCAUUGGCAUAUGCAGGUCUUUGAGAGCAGAAAAGCAAGAAGGCUGAGCUCCAUCUUCUAAGUCUCUUCAGUGCGAUGAAAACAUGAGGUCGGAACUGUCAAGAGGAGCAAGCAGAAUUCCUCCACGGCAUCAGGCAGAGAUUUGUGGGAAGAGUGUUUUUUGUAUUGUUCAAAGGCUUCAUCUUGUGGUUCCUCUGUAAGGCAAAAAGGAGUGAGGAGCUGGAUAAAGCCUGUGGCCAAAAUGAAGCAUCAUUUCCUACUUGGGCUAGAUAUAUUUGCUUUGAGUCAAAAGAAUUUUUGAUCAACACAAAAUUUAAGCAAUGUGAUCCUCGAGAUCAAGUUCAGAGUAAAAAUGGUAGAAGGCAGAAGAGACAAGGAGAAAAAAAUAUUUCAAAGCAGACACUUUGCCCAGACCCGGUUUAAACUCGGGUUCCAGCCACAAACCACAAUCUCUUCUGCAUCUCAGAUCUCCCAAGACAGAAAUUUGGGAAGACCGUUUAAAACUAAAACUCUCAAAG
ensembl:lncRNA